rnacentral:lncRNA from 1 species
GGUAAAUCAUUCCCAUUGGCAUUCUCAUGGGGCCUCAGGAAGGGUUGUCAGCAGAUUAUCCAGUUUAAUACCUCCUCCAGACCCCCUGUCACAUCCUGCACUUCCCCAGAACUCAAUGCCACUAAGGUUCUGUUGUCUCCCAGUCCUGUAUUGAACCUGGGGGUGAGUCAGCUCCCUGGGGCAGGUACAUUCCGUUCUGGCAGUGGCAGCCUGUUCAGGCAUUGCCUCUGUGAGCUGAGAGGACUUGCAGUCUUGUUUGUGGGGCUGGCACAGCACCUGCCCUCCCCUUCGGGCGGGUACAGCCUUUGCAUAAAGGAUGAGGAGGCUGUCAGGACAUUGGCACAACACCUGUGGGUUUUGGCCAAUCUCUCCUCUUCUCUUCAUUAUCUCAAAGCUUGUGGUAUGAUCUCGGUGCAGCAGCCAGGUGUAGGGGACUUCUGGAGAGAAGAGGAAGGAAGGAGGCUGGAGGUGGAUCUGAGAGUUUCUGACACAGGGGAUUGGAACUUCAGGACUUCCAAAUUGACUGACCCAAGAUUCUACCCUUCCACCAAAAGAACUAUCAGCAAGAUGUAAUCCAUUUGUGGACAGGCUCCAGGGGCAAGUAGACUCAUGGUACGUUUUACAGCUGUUUGAACAGACAUCAUUUGUGGGAAAGCAGUGCAGCACUGGCGAUUAUACUGCAGAAUGUGAAAUUGCCCAGGGUUUAUCUGUAAGUUUCAUCAGGUACCAGCACCAGCAGUGUUGAAAGCUGUAGCAGCAGUCCUGGUUGGCAGAAGGUGGCAUAUCAGCUGCUUGCACAUGAUCCAGUGCCAUUUGGAAAAAGCUUGAACCGCUUUCAGUAAAAAUAUCAUGAUUUGGUCUACUCAGGAUAUGCUUCUAGUCAGAGCAGUCAAAGCAGGCAGCUUUAGCACCUUCUGUACAGGAGGCAGUAGGGCUGCAUGAAACAUGGCCUUUGUUCUACAGGAGCGAUGUGUUCUCCAGGGUGUGUUUGUGGCAGCUGUUACUGGAUUUUAACAUCAGGUAGUGGACAAGGAAUUGACCAUUACUGAGACUGUGAACUGCACAAGGGUGCUUGCAGAAGUCAGACCCGAUCUGGAGGUUUCCUGGCACCUUGCUAGUUACCUUUUACUCUAUGUCAAAGCGCACUUCAUUGAAAGAGAGGUAUUGUCUGAAACGUUGCCUUCUCUGGCUGCGUGGCUGUUAAACAUGUGGGUCUUGAGACGCUUAAUACAGCUGGCAUCUUCUGAUGCGGCUUCAGCUGAAACAGUCAUGGGGGAGGGAAGACAGCCCUGCGUGGAAGCUCUUCUCGCUGGUACCGGGGCUGCAGAGGGGAGCUCC